rnacentral:tRNA from 7 species
GGCCCUAUGGCGGAGUGGUGACGCAGCGGAUUGCAAAUCCGUGCACCCCGGUUCGAUUCCGGGUGGGGCCUCCA